CAAUGGUGGGCUGGGCGGGGGCGUCGCAAGACGCGCCGGUACACUCCAAGCCGGUAAUGCCAACUCCGUUCAGACCUGCCACCC
rnacentral:antisense_RNA from 1 species